AUGCUGUGGUGGGGGCAUGCUGCAAUGUAUUCCUAGAAUCUCUCCCAAGCUUCUGAGAUGGAUUCAUCCGGAUGUCGUGAAAUCCAGAGAUUUUGCUCCGAACGAC